rfam:Oryctolagus cuniculus unplaced genomic scaffold chrTn0265, whole genome shotgun sequence.
CAAAAGGAUUUCUUGAAAAUCCACAAAUACUUUGGGUAAAGAAAUCU